rnacentral:rRNA from 1 species
AUUGAACGCUAGCGGGAUGCUUUACACAUGCAAGUCGAACGAGUGGCGGACGGGUGAGUCAUAUAUCGGAACGUGCCCAGUAGCGGGGGAUAACUCCUCGAAAUAGUGGCUAAUACCGCAUACUAUUGGAGCGGCCGAUAUCGGAUUACCUAGUUGGUGGGGUAAAGGGUCACCAAGGCAACGAUCCGUAGCUGGGUUGAGAGGACGACCAGCCAAACUGGAACGGAGACACGGUCCAUACUCCGACGGGAGGCAGAAGUGGGGAAUAUUGCACAAUGGGCGCAAGCCUGAUGCAGCAAUGCCGCGUGUAUGAGAAGGCCUUCGGGUUGUAAAGUACUUUGAGCGGGGAGGCGUUACCCGAAGAAGAAGCACCGGCUAACUACGUGCCAGCCGCCGCGGUAAUUC